AUUGAGGCAAAGUUCUGAUGACAUCAUCUGAGUGCCUAGAUCCAGCUGUGCCUGAAGGGGUUCAUUACAACUAAGAACCUACCGGGAGUUACUCUUCCCCUACAAGAUCCAGAAUGCCUUUUGGUUUCCUUUAAUGAAGCAGCAGCCUGACCAAGUCCUACCCACUGCUCUAAUACUGAGAUCUCCAGCUGCAGUGCACAAAAGGAAAGUGAACACAGGGAAAGCUGGGACUUUGUUGAGGGUCAUGGAGGAGUGGUUCCGCGGGAUGCCAGGGGUGUGGGAGCAGAGCCUUGGCAUUUGGAGCAGGUAGCCUGCAUGGUGAAAAGUGAUGGGAAUAGUGCUGCAUUCAGAUACAGGACGGACUGCAAUAGCAAAG
rnacentral:lncRNA from 1 species